ensembl:lncRNA
AUAUAUAUAUAUAUAUAUUUAUUUCAGACAAUUCUUUUCUGAUAUCAUUUUAUAAAAAUGUUUUUCAUAGUAAGUAUUUUUGUAAAGGAAGCCAGGAUGUUAGACAUGUACAAAAUUGUAUGACUUCAAGGAGUCAAAUUAAAUGAUCAACUGAUCAUCAAAUAAUUUGUAUUUGAAAAGGCACUCUUUAGAUACAGUGUCCUACAAAGAUAUACAGGUUAAAAAGUCUUAUUUAAGAGGCCUUACGAAGAAUACACGUUCAUGCUGAUUCGCAUGCACUUGUCUUUCCUGUCACAUGGGGUUUUUUAUCUUUAAGAAAAUUUAUUUACGGAAUACCACUUCAAGAUGAUGCCAACGUUAAUGGGUUAUACAGCGUGUCCCAAAAGUCUCCAUGCAUAGGAGAAAUUGAUACUUUUCAGCAAAAUGUCUUCCAAAAUUUUUCAUACUUAGUUUAUAAUAUUUUUUUUUUUUCAGUCACUUUGACAAAAGAACAUCUUGAAAUCGUUCUCGUGGCUGGAUCGGGAAACUGUCACAAGGAUGCGAUGGACUUUCGCAGGAAACAUUGCGAGCGCAUCACACACAACACUCGCCAAACUUACUAACGAAUUCAGAAAGACGAAGCAUUGAAAAUGUUAACAGAAGAGGGCGCUAUGAGAGGAGCACAGCAAGGUGUAGAAAAGAGACUAAGGAGAAUGUCCAGCUCUUCACUGAGGUUUCCUAGAGAGCCAGGUGGGUAAUAGAUAACAAUAAUGUGAAGAAAAAUGGGAGGGGUAACGGUAACCACAGAAUUCCACAGAAGCAUAAGAUGUUGAGAUGAGACCGUGGGUGCAGAUACUCCUCAUGUUCUGGUAUGUCACGAUGGGAGCUUGGUGAUAAUGUCCUCCACCCAGUGGGCCAACUGCUACAUAGGUAAAGGAGGCCAUUGUGUCUUUCCUCUGUGGCAGAUAAACAGCUGGUCUGAGGAUUGGAUGGCUCCCAUGAAGUCUAAUUUGUACUAUAGGACAUGGUAAUGAAUGUUUGCCAGGCUCACUCUCAUAUCCUGCAUUCAAUCAUGUGUAAACAUGACCUGGCUGAAUUAUUUGUAACGUGGGAAGAAUCCGUGUUAGAGGAGGAAAUGUGCACAGUAGAUGAGGCCAGUCGUGGCCAGAGGGGUCCGUUAACGACACAAAAAUCGCUCAUCCAUGCUAAUGGAAUGUGGCUGCAGUAUUGAUAGAUGACUAGACAGUGAGGAAAUGUGAGAUAUUCAAAGGAGACAAUGCUGAGGGACAAACCGAGCAAUGGAGAACGCUGAGAUAUACACACCACUUACUGAAUGAAGAAGAAACUAACUCUAAGCUAGCUUAGUAUCUUCAGAGAUUCAGAAAUGUUCAUCACAAAUGACCUCUCGGUGUGUGCUGUGGUUUUCCAAUAUGGCGAGAGCUGCUUCCCAUGAGUGGGUUUGUUUUGAUUAUUAUUAUUUUUGAUUUUGUUUAUUAUUUUAUUUAACUGAUUUGCGUUCCAAGUUUUCCUAAAGGUGCUCGUCGUUCUCAUUUUUGGUUUCGCGUUUCUUGUUUUUCGCUAUCCUGGUUCUUUUGCAGUUCUAACCCUUGUUUUACAUUGUGUAUUAUUGUCACAUUCUUUCAUUAAAAUUCCUUCAUUUAUUUGGUGUUUUGAAAUCCCUAAUAUCACUAAUGUAGAACUUUAAAAGAUUUCAUUCAAUGAAGACAAAAUAGUUUAUGAACUUCUUUUAAUGAAGAUGAUGAAUGCAGAUACAAGUGGAGAAAAAAAAAUGGAGAUUCAUGUUGCAGAUCUUUUGAUGACAAUAUUUUGAAACAGGAAAUGUACAUUGACCAACGUUCACUGAUUCAUAAUGAGACUGGUUUAGAAAGUCUGGUGAUGAAACUCAUCCAAAAUCUAAGAGUUAACUGAUUAAGACAUCACUGGCAUAAAAAUAUUUUCAUAUGAGUAAGUUAUAGGAAAUACAUGAAUCUUAAUCAGAAAUGAUUCAUUUUAAAAAUAUAAUUGUUAUAAAAAUGCAAAUACGUUUAAAGAAAAUAAGCCGAAUGAAUUAAAAGUAAAACAAGAUAGCAUUGCCAUUAAAAUGUUCAUUUGAUUUGAUCUUGUUCCACGUGCUAUAUUCAAUAAAUUCAGUAGAUAAAAGUGUUGAAUUAGCCAAACUUAUCCAAACUAGAAAAACACACACAACUUGUUCUGCCAUUUCUGAGUAAUGUUAUCAAAUCAUAAUCUAUUUUACCACAGAGGUAAGUCCUUGGCAGCAUUCAGCUUUGCUGCUAGGUCAAUAACAUCUCCCUCUUUUACCGGAAAGCUCUGCAGCUCUACAACAUGGUCUACAUUUUUCAUAAUGAACGCGAUGAGAUCGGUGAAGGCCUUGAUGUACACAUCGGUCACAUCCAUGAAUUUUCUCAUGACAUCUGCGCUUGGACAUUUAAACUGAGUUUUCCCAUCAACCUUUUCUUGGAGGGAUUCAGCGAUGGUUUCGGCUUUUUCGGAUGCCUGAAAAUACAGUUACAAAACUAUUUAGCAAAAAAACAUGACAUUAUAGCAGAGCAACAAUACGUAUCUACACAAAAUAGCUCAUAAUACUGAAUUGAGGUUAAAAACAAAGCAACUCUUGAACAAAAUUCUGGAAUCAGGGUUUGAUUAUUUAAAAAAAAUAUCUGAAACUAUCCGAAAUGGAAAGAAUAUGGCACAACCAUGAUAACUCUGAAGGAGCUGGAGAGAUCCACAGCUCAGGUGGGAGAAGUUGAUCACAGUCUGGACAAUCCACCGAACUGGGCUUUAUAAAAGAUUGGAGAACUGUAUGAAAUCCUGCGUUGGAGUCUUAGCAAUCUUGUGGAAAAAAUGGUUCUUUGGUCUGAAGUGAAGCCUAGUGGUGGUAGCAUUAUGAUGAAGGGACUGGGAAACAGGUCAGGGUUGAGGGUGAGAUGGCUGGAGAGAAAUACAGGACAAUCCUAGAAGAAAAUCUGUUCCUAUCUGUCUGAGACUUGAGACUGGGGCAGAGCUUCACCUUCCAAUAGAACAAUGACCAUAAGCACACUGGCCAUAGCUACACCUGAGAGGUUUAGGAACAAGAACCUAAAUGUGUUAGAAUGGCCCAGUCAAAGUCCAGAUUGAGAAUCUGUGACAUGACUUGAAAAUUGCUAUUCACCCUUGACCAUUGCCUCUAUCUAAUCUGACAGAGCUAAUUUGACAUUUUUGCCAAAAUGAAUAAAAAUUUCAGCAAUCAGAUAUGAAAAGCAGAUAGAGACAUAUUCCAGAAGACCUGCAGCUGUAAUUGCAACCAAACAUUUUCUGCUGCUGCAAUUUUUGAUGUUAGACAUAUUGUGUCAACUAGUAAAUAUCCCAAAUAAUUUCAGUUCCAGGUUGUAACACUUCAAUAUGUGUACAAGUUCAAGAGACUGUAUUCAGGAGUGACAUUUUCAUCUGUCUAGGUGUAUUAUUUAGCCAACAUCAAACGAGCAAGUGUGCUAUUGUACUGAAUAUCAGUGCUCUCAGAACGCCGCUCGUCCAAUCAGGUUACUGGACUGUAACUAACUGUUGUGUAAUACACUGUCGUAAGUGAUGAAAUGUAUGGAUGCACAGAGCCGAUACUGAGGAUCAGGAAUGAUAUUCGCCUGAAAUGAUAGACUGGAUCAGAUUUCACACCUUACCUCAACUAAUGGUUUAAUGUAUUUUGUCAGAAUGGCUUCCAAAGACACUUCAUAUCCAUCCAGAGUGAUGGUAUCGUCCUUGUGGACCUCCAUCCAUUCCAGUACCUUCUUGUUUAUGGUGGCUUCAGUGUUGAUCACGUCACUCAAGGCCUUUAUUACAUUACGCAUGCGUGUCUUGGUUUCUUUUUGGUCAUGUUGUGGAAGCAGCUUGUUUAAAGCAACAUUUACCCCCCACAGGAUGGCGCCAACCGCUACAGUUUCAGCAGUAAACUUGGCCACUUUAGCUACACAAUUUCCGAUGGACUUAAGGAACUCUUGGAGUUUAUUCUGAGUUGUAGAAAGCUCUUCAAUCGCCGUGCGGGUUUCGGCUAUUACUUCUUCAAUUUCCUCUCGUGCUUCUCCUGAUAGUCCCUCAGAUGCUUCUUCCGCUUCUUCUAUCCCAUCUUCAACCGCUUUAAUAAUCUCUUCAAAUUCUGCCAUUCUGCAACCUAAAAAGAACAAAUAUAAACCACUCUUUGUGAACAGGACAAACAAAUCCAUCUAUAUUACACAUUUUGUAUCAAAAUAUUUGAGACAAAAAUGCUCACGUUUUUUUUUUUUUAGAAACAAUUGUAGCAGCUUUGUCUGGAAUGUUUUCUUUUGAUCUUUGCCAUAAAAGUUAUAUAUUUUUAACUGUUUUAGCGUCUCUUGCUGUCUCUCAUGUUGACAGGAUGAAGUAGGACAUAUAUAGCAAUUCAAUUCAGUUUUAUUUCUAUAGCGCUUUUAACAGUAGACGUUGUCUCAAAGCAGCUUUACAGAAACAUAUAAACACAGGGUAGAGAUUUUAAGUGUGUGGAUUUAUCCCUAUUGAGCAGCCGGUGGUGAAGGUGGUGAGGAAAAACUCCCUGAGAUGAUAUGAGGAAGAAACCUUGAGAGGAACCGGACUCAGAAGGGAACCCGUCCUCAUCUGUGGAACAACGGAUAGUGUGAGAGUAAAGGGAAAAGUAAAGAAAAGUGUCACGUCACCUUCUGGCGUAACCGGAAACUUCAAAUCCCAGAAUUCAGAGGCAAGAGAUUACACGUCCGCAUGCUGUCUGUCACUUAACUCGAAAGUGGGAAGUUAAAACUUGGAAAUAUAACAUUUCUGAUCUCUGUGUGCUCAAGCUACAAAGUGGGAAGAAGACCAUGAGAGCCUCCAUGUUCAGCUUUUGUUAACAAUGAUCUAGCCAGCUCUGUGUGCUGAGUGAUGUAUACUGACCUCAGAACAGUGGGCAGUGUAGUCAGUGUUAUAGGUUAACAGGUGAACAUGUCUGUAUGCUGACUGAUGUACAGUAAUUAAGUGUAUGUACAGUAUAACACAUUUGAAGUGCUCCUGUGUUCACUGCUGAUGCUGUGUUGAUUUGACAUCACUUGCUGAACUUGGGGUUGAGGAGUCUGUCCUGAGUUUUCGAGAUGAGGAGUUGUUUUCUUUGUUUUUUCACAGUCUGAGGUUGGAAAUUCAGACUUAUGUGGAGUUAUACUCGAAAUAGACUGGACUCUCAAACAUUCAAUGCGAAGUCUCUCUUCUAGUUUGCCUAGGAAUGAUCCCACGCCUUUGUUCUGUGGUAAUAUCUUGUGUAUUGACUCUGGGUUUGUUUAUUGACCUGUUUGCCGAUCUCCUGACAUGUUUGCACGUUGUUUACAAGUGUGAAAAUGUCCUAUGGAUUGUUUACCUUUAAUAAAAUCCUGCAUUUGUAUCCAAAAACAUUCACAAAAAUACUCUGCUCUCAUGGAUAUCAAACAAUUUGCAAACAAAACAGGUUUAUAAAAACUAAAUCUUUGUUAAAUAUGUGCAGCAAUUAUUGGCACCCUUUUAGUCAAUACUUUGUGCUACAUCACUUUGCCAAGAUAACAGCUCUGAGUCUUCUCCUAUAACGCCUGAUGAGGUUGGAGAAUACAUGGCGAGGGAUCUGAGAGCGUUCCUCCAGACAGAAUCUCUCCAGAUCCUUCACAUUUCAGGUCCACACUGGUGGACUCUCCUCUUCAGUUCACCCCACAGGUUCUCUAUGGGGUUCAGGUCAGGGGACUGGGAUGGUCAGGGCAGGAUCUUGAUUUUGUGGUCAGUGAACCAUUUCUGUGUUGAUGUUGAUGAUGUUUUGGAUCAUCGUCCUGCUGGAAGAUCCAACCACGGCCCAUUUGAAUCUUUCUGUCAGAGGCAGUCAGGUUUUAUUUAAUAUCUGUUGAUAUUUGAUGGAGUCCAUGAUGCCAUGUGUCCUAACAAAAUGUCCAGGUCCUCUGGCAGAGAAACAUCCCCAAAACAUUAAAGAGCCACCACCAUAUUUAACCGUGGGCAUGAGGUACUUUUCCAUAUGGCUACCUCUCUGUGUGCUCCAAAACCACCUCUGUGUUUAUUACCAAAAAGCUCUAUUCUGGUUUCAUCUGACCGUAGAACCCGGUCCCAUUUGAAGUUCCAGUAGUGUCGGCACACUGAAGACGCUCGAGUGUGUUUUUGGAUGAGAGUAGAGGCUUUUUUCCCGAAACCCUUCCAAACAGCUUGUGGUGAUGUCGGUGACUUCAGAUUGUAGUUUUGGAGACUUUCUGACCCCAAGACACGACUAACUUCUGCAGUUCUCCAGCUGUGAUCCUUGGAGAUUUUUGGCCACUCGAACCGUCUUCUUCAGUGCGUUGAGACGAUAUAGACACACAUCCAAUUCCAGGUCCAUUCAUAACAUUUCCAGUUGACUGGAACUUCUUAAUUAUUGCCCUGAUGGUGGAAACGGGUGUUUUCAAUGCUUGUGCUAUUUUCUUAUAGACACGCCCCAUUGUAUGAAGCUCAACAACGUUUUGCCGCACAUCACAGCUAUAUUCCUCGCUCUUAACCAUUUUUAUGAAUGACUAAGGGAAUUUGGCCUAUGUGUUACCUCAUAUUUAUACCCCUGUGAAACAGGAAGUGAUGGUUGAACAAAAUUCCUGUUCCUAGUCACCCAGAUAUACUAAAAAAUUAAAACUAUGGGAAUAUACUUCAAAUAUAUUUUUCUCAUAUUCAUAGGGGUGGCAAUAAUUGUUGCACACCUACAUUUAACAAAGAUUUUUUUUUUUGGGAUAAACCUGUGUUGUGUUUAUAAUUGUUUGAUAUCCAUGAGAGCAGAGUAUUUUGUGAAUUUUUUAAACAAAGGAUCAAAAAGUUAAACAAUAAAGAAUUUUUUUUCACAGCCUUCUUUGCUCAUAUUUACCAAGGGUGCCAACAUUAAUGGAGGACUCUGUAUGUCUAUACAAUUAGUCAAAAUCAAAAGUACAAACUUUGCAUUCUUUAGCCAGUUUACAUAUUUCAUGAUACCAUGUGGACAAUCUUGAAGCCGCAUUCAUAAAUUAUAUUUAUCACUGAUGAUUAAUCACUGGUUGUAGUGAAGUGUGUGUGUGUGUGUGUGUGUGUGUGUGUGUGUGUGUGUGUGUGGAACAUGGUGUCAUUAUGUACAUUAAGAUGAUCCUGGUGUCCACUAUAAUUGACAUUGAUAAAAAGGCUAAUAUUUUUAAACACAAACCAUUGAACUGCUUUCAGAACUAAGUAUAUUAUUCCUGACACUUUAAUAAAAAAGAAUAUAUGUGAUAAUCAUAGUAAAAAAAAAAAACAAUUAAAAAUACAAUACUUUAGUUAUCUUUCUUCUUUCCAUAAAAUGUGCUUGUUCCUAUGCCGGCCAUUUUAGAUGUAGUGUAAGAAGUUGAUCCUCGCGUCACAGACUGUAACAUGACACAUCACUAGAAAGCCCAGAAUGUCCUCUAGAGUUACUAGAGUAGCUUAAAAAAGUCAGAGGACAUGCAUGAAAACAAAACAUCCACUACAGAGGACACAAGUCAAUGGGCGGAGUCUCAGGAGGAUAUAAAAACACUUUACCCAACCUGCUACACUACACAGCAGGGAAAAGCCUGUCAGUCGAAGACGAAGCUACUGUAACUCGAUCACAGCACGGCUGCUAUAUAGUUCUAUAUAUUUUCUAUUUUAUUCAAACCUGUUCUUGAUUUAAAGAAGAAUCUAAUUAAAUUUUAACCCCUCCAGAUAUUCUUCAUCAGAUUACAGGGUGAACUAUGAACUACAGACUCCACACAACCUGACCAUGACCUCUUUGAACUCUGGUAGGUUCUUCAGAGCUUCUCUACACAAAACAACUAGACUCAAGAACAGGUUUUAUUUUCCUCACAGGCCAUCUCCUUCAUGAUCAGUUAAUAUGGACAUUAAUCUGUUGGACUAUAGCGAAAUAUAUUACUGCUACUGCUACUGACUAACCCACACUUACUGGUGUGCACAUGCAAUACUGCGUAUUGGUUAUACUGGUCUGGAUUAUUUUAAUAUUGUUCUACUUUAAUAUAUUUCUGUCUUAUAUUUUAUACACCAUUGUGUGUUGUACUCAAUGUAAGUACUGGAAACAAAUUCUUUGUGUAUGCAAACACACUUUGCCAAAAAUUUUGUUUGUUUGAUUUUGUUUGAAUGUAGACAGAGGUUUUAAUUUUAAAAAAUCCUUUACCUACCACAUUGAUUCAGUGAUAUAACUGGAGUGGAAAACAAUGACAUUAUCAUUUCUGGUCUAUGAAAUUCUACAAUAAAAAUAAUUCAUGGGUUUGACCUGGUGCCCGAUUUUCUCCUCUCUAUGACUCUUUUUUUCCCCACCAAUAAAGUGCAGAGUGCGUUUACUUACACUCACUGUUGUCUGUUUCCAAACGGCUCUUGUCCUCCGGUGGGGUGCGAGUGAUUCAAUUGUCUGGAGAAUCAGCACUUUUAAUACAUGUUCCGUGUGGGCGUCGACUUACUGGACGUGUUUUUCUAAAGAAAUCUGUACUGAGGAACUUCCUCAUGUUUUCACUCUAGUUGAUGCUCAAGACUUCGUGUAUUUCAGUGGAUUAAUAAUUUCAAAUCACAGGCAACUUCUCAGACAGACUUAUCUUUAACAUCACGACCCAGAACCUGUGAUUCCUGAGAGCUGUGAGGACUCGACUGAUUACUAGAACCGAUAAGACACACUGCUAACAUGGGAGCUGUCCUAGCUAUAGUUAUUGAUGUGGUUGUGGCAGGAGUAGCUGCUGUAGUUGAAGCUGCUGCUACAGAAGCUGCUGCAGCACUUGUAGAGGUUGGAGUGGAGUCUAUUGUGGAGGCUGGAGAAGCUGCAGCCGCCGCAGCAGAGGCAGCAGCAGAAACUGCCGCAGAGGCAGCGGCCGAAGGUGCAGCCGAGGCAGCGAGUGAAACAGCAGCUGAGAUUGCAUCCAGCACCGCAGCACAAAUUGCAGCAAAAAUUUUGACCUAUGUAGCCAAACUUAGCAAACUUAUAAAAGAAACAUUUGAAAUCGAUGCCAUUUUCAAAGCUGCAAUAGAUGUUUUAAAACUAAUGUUGAGUGAUCCUUCAGUUGCUGAAAAAUACAGGAAGCUGGAGAGAGCUGUGACCAUUUUGGAAACACUCAACCAGAAGAUGAAUGAAAUCAUGAAAUGGCUGGAGGUCCAUAAGAAUGACUCUGUUGAACUCGAGGGAAUUGAUGUCCCCUUGGAGUCAGGAAUCCUGGCCAAGUUCCUUCAACAACUCUCAACGGCUCUGGGGAACAUGAAGCGACUAGCAGACGACAUCAACCAACUCAACCAGAGCAAACAACCAAUCAAAGAUGCCCAGAUUAUAACCAUAAACCGCAGCAUGAUCCGUAUUGUGUCAACAUUUGAGUCUCUCGCCCAGUUCAAAGAAGAAAAGCAAAGCAAAAUCGCUGCAUUGGCAUCACUUCCUGUCAGCGUGGAGGAAGCGGAGGAGUGGAAGCGUGAGCUGGGUUCUGAUGGUGGUCCUACUCUUCAGCUCUUACAUCUUACCCUGUACAAAUACAAGUAAAAGGGCAUGGACUGUCCAGAACCAGAAGCGUAAAAUGGUGUCCUGAUUCACUGCCUGUUGUUUCAAUCAGUAUAUACACAAUUCUGAUGAUUUUAUUGUUUUUAAUCAGUAUAUUCUUAGUUAGUUAGUAUUGUUAUAAUUAACUAGUUGGAUUAGGUUAAGAAGUCAAUCUUUUAAUGCUCUGAUAUUUCAGUGUGGCGGUACUGUUUUCAGAUUCCUUUGUGUACGGAAAAUUCAAAGGUAAAAUAAUUUCUAUAACAAUUGCAGUAAAUGUUUUUUGUUGUUGUUCAUUCUGGAUUAACGAUAAAAAUAGAAAAAGAGAGAAAAAGAGAAUAUUUAAAAUUCUCUGAUCAUCAUAUGAUAAUCCUUAUGUUAUUCCUUAGUGUGUAUCCACUAACCUGUGUUAGAAAAGAUGCACCAAUGUUCAAGGACGUGUGUGUGUGUGUGUGUGUGUGUGUGUGUGUGUGUGUGUGUGUGUGUGUGUGUGUGUGUGUGUGUUAGUGUUAGUUUGCUAAAAGACUUCCUUUAUACUCAUAUCAAACACCAGAUGGAUGAUCUGUAGAGUGCCCUUGUUUUGAAAGUGUAUAAAACACUUUGGGUCAAGCUGGAGUCUGGCUCUUGUUACUUUUUUGUAAUAAAAGUCUCAUUUCUUUUUGCCAACAAAAACCUCGAGACUCAGAAGUUUUUAUUUUUGCUGAAGAAGAUUCCAGAAGGCCUAAAGUCAUGAUUAUACAAAAUUCUAAUAAACACACAAAUAAAUGAAUUAAAUCCAACAUACUAAGUUACUAAGUCUGAAUAGGAAAAAUACAUUUAGUAAUUUAACACCAUGGAUACUAUAGACUUAUUGAAAUAGG